rnacentral:rRNA from 1 species
AUCCUAAUUCUUUUGAUUUUGGAGAAGUAAAGAUGAGAGAUUUGUUUAUACAUGCUUGUGGAAGCUUAUAAGUGAGAUAAUUUUGAAAUAAAUCAAUUUACAUCAGGAUCAGUAGUGUAAAUCUCUACUAUUCCUAAGACGUAGAGCAUAAGCCACGUUUUCACUGUAGCAAAGGGGAAUCUAUGACAGCAGUAAAGAAUUCUGUACAAUUAAUUUUAAUUAGAUACGGGAACUCUCUUUAGUCUUGUCUAAUUAAGUGCCAGCAGACGCGGUUAAACUUAAGAGACAAACCUUUACAAAAAAUUAGGUUAAAAUAUGUGUAGAAAUUAACAUAUUAUAUUUUGAAGAUUUUUGAAUUGGUUAAAUAAACAAAAAUCAUUAAUUCUAUAAAGAAGUUAAAAUAUAAAAAAUUUUGAAACAUGAAAAAAGGGAAAUUAAAUAGGAUUAGAUACCCUAGUAAACCCUUUCGUAAAUAAAGAAUUUUUCUAUCUGAACAGUACACUUUUAAGAGUGAAAAUCAAAAAUUUUGGCUGUUUAUUUUCUAAUUAGAGGAACAUGUGAUUUAAUUCGAUAAUCCGCGAAAAACCUUACCUAUUCUUGAAAUUCAGGCACUGCAUGGUCGUCGUCAAUUCAAUUUUAUAAUUUGAAUUCAAUCCAAAUAAGGAUAAAGUCAGAUAUUAUGGUCCUUAUGAAUAGGCAUAUCAUGUGUUACAAUAUUUAAAUUAAUUUAAUUUUAAAAAUGUUAUAUUAAUGAAUAUUAAUAGAAAAGAGAAUUUAAUAGUAAUUGAAGAAAUAAUGCUUCAAUGAAUCAGUUCAAAUAUGAGUACAAAUUGCCCGUCGCCUUUAUCAAUAAUAUUACCUAAUAUUAAAGAUAGAGCAAGUCGUAACAUAGUGGGAGGAAGGGAACUUCUUCCUGCAGAAUAAA